rnacentral:rRNA from 1 species
UUCGGAAUUACUGGGCGUAAAGAGUGUGUAGGCGGUGCUCUAAGUUUGGUGUGAAAUCUCCCGGCUCAACUGGGAGGGUGCAUCGAAAACUGGGGUGCUCGAGGGUGGGAGAGGUAAGCGGAAUUCCUGGUGUAGCGGUGAAAUGCGUAGAUAUCAGGAGGAACACCGGCGGUGUAGACGGCUUUCUGGACCGUAGCUGACGCUGAGACACGAAAGCGUGGGUAGCAAACAGG